ACAUCAUACUCUUUCCCAAGCUGUCUCUGCUCACUAGAGUUUGAGUCUGUCAGUGAUUCUCCUAUAUAGAAGGCAUAGCGGAUACAAAUUCAAGACAGGAAAGGGCAAGGUGGAGAAAUCAAGACCCCAACAGAGGGCUGACCCGGUUACUCAGCAAUGCUCUGGCAGAAACACACAAAAGAGUCCGUGGCUUGUGAUUCACAGGCCAAGACGUUGCCUUAGCGCAGCACUCCCCAUGUUGACGUGGAAGGUGGUAAUGGCAGUGAGCAAAAAAGUGAUCCAUGCACAGAUAAAUUUGUGAACGCCGGAUGAAACAAAGUUAAAAUAGGACCCAGCGGAUGAAGUGGACUGAACCACUGAAAUCUGAAACAUUGAUGAUCACUACAGCAAAGGGAAGAGCUCGGUAAAUUGUGCAUAUCGUUCUUGGAUCUUCCACCCAAAGUAACACUUUCACCUACAUUUAUUGGCCACGAGACAGGAUUGUGCCAUGUUGCCCAGGCUGGUCUGGAACUCCUGGACUCAAGUGAUCCACCCACCUCGACCUCCUAAAGUGCUGGGAUUACAGGCGUGAACCACUGUGUCUGGCCUCCGGGUGGUUUUAAGUGGGGACUUUUAUUUCUCACACAGUCUUCUGUAUAUUCUAUAUUUUCUACAAGAAAUAUAUAUUGCUUUUCUAAUCAGGAAAAAAAGUGAAUAUAUGCAUGUGCCUUUACAAAAUUGUUCUCAUUCUGCAGAUGAGUGAAACCAAGGUAACAGAUGGGAAGGAAAUGACUCACGUAAGAUCACACAGCAAUCGAUGUCACAUUAUGACAAUGUUCAGGAAACUGCAUUUCCAUUUUUGCACCCCACUCUCUUGGGUCUGAGUUACCCACAGCUUUUCUAACAAGAAUCUCGUUGGCAUCUGACUUGACUUGGGGACCUAGCACUACACUAUGCAGAAGGGGGCCCCCCUCAGACGCCCGGUAUCAGUUAGUUUGUGCUUAUCUGCAGGGGCUCACUGCUAUGGGAGUUUCAGAAGUAGAAGCCACAGUCCCUGUUCUCAAAAGGCUUACAGAUGGGUACUUACAGUUGCAUAUGAAACAGUGAUGUCAGUACUGUUGUGCAGACUCUGAAUGCUGUAAGAACAGCAGGGGAAGGAACUGGUUGUCAGAGGAGCAACCAAGAACCGUUGGCACAAAAUCUUUUUACCAGGGUUGUUCACAAAAGAAAAAAUGCUGGAAGCUCUGCUCCUUUUAAUUUCCCCCAGCUACCCUGUGUAGGCACCUGAAGGUAAACAGUAUGAAGGAGAAGGGGAUAGAAAUGCACAAGAUAGUUCUCAUUUUGCAUAUUCCAUAGUUCAUAGUAUUGAAGGUCUUCUUUGACAAACCCCACUGAAGUUUCUUGAUUUCACCUUCACCAUGGCUAAAAGCAGCAGCUCGCCCCCACACUUUGAUUUUUCCCUUCUGUACUUUCUCUUCCCCUUCUGUUUCUCUCGGUGAGGGGUCCAAAUUGGAAACUUUUUUUGUCCCACGGCCCACCAUAAGGGUUCGUUCUGUGAACCUCUGUCUAUUUCAUCCCUGCUUACCUAACAGCUCUUUCCCCAAGAACCAAACUUUAAGUUCCUCUCAGCAGCACAGUAAAUCUUCAGAGGCUAAUACCUGUUUUUUUUUCCUUGAGACGGAGUUUCGCUCUUGUUGCCCAGGCUGGAGUGCAAUGGCACAAUCUCGGCUCACUGCAACCUCUGCUUCCUGGGUUCAAGCGAUUCUCUCACCUCAGCCUCCUGAGUAGCUGAGAUGACAGGCGCCCGCCACCAUGCCCAGCUAAUUUUUGUAUUUUUAGUAGACACGGGGUUUCACCAUGUUGGUCAGGCUGGUCUUGAACUCCUGACCUCAGGUGAUCCACCCGCCUUGGCCUCCCAAAGUGCUGGGAUUACAGGUGUGAGCCACCAUGCCCAGCCCACAGACUAAUAUCUUUAAGGAACUUCUAGAAAUCAUCUCUGGCCGAGUCAUCCAGGCGUGAACAAGAGGUUCUGGGCUGAGAUCAAAGAGAACAAGGGGAAAAUUCAGCAGUUACACAGCCGGGCUCAUACUGAAGGGAUUGGCAUGAAUAUUAACAUCAACUCCAUUUACGAGGUUCUUUUACCCUGUGCCAGGCAGGUAAUUUGCUUGAUAUGCAUGAUCUGAUUUAAUUUAGUUCUCAUAGUGAUCUUUCUAAAGUAGGCACUAUGAUCCCAUCUUCACAGGCAGAAAGGAAGCAAAGUAAGUUGCUCAAAAACACAGCUAGUCAACACCCCCAGAAUGUACCAUGCCAAGAGUGAACUCUAAUGUAAACUGUGGACUUUGGGUGAUAAUGAUGUGUCAAUGUAGGUUCAAUGAUUGCAACAAAUGUACCACUCUGGUGUGGGAUGUUGACAAUGGGGGAGGCCAUGAGUUGGGGUGAUAGAGGAGAACUCUCUGUACUUUCUGAUUGAUUUUGCUGAGAACCUAAAACAGCUCUGAAAAACAAAGUCUAUUUAAACACACACACACACACACACACACACACCUAGUAAAUAGCAGGACCAGGAGUUAAGGCUAGGUCUGUCUCCUUAGGUGAUGGUGAGUUAUUAUCAACAACAUGUUGAACUCCACCGUACAGGUAGCAAUAAUGACGUGUAUGUGUGUGUGUGCAUGUAUUGAGGAUUGAGGGGAUCUGUGUUAAAAAAGAAAGAAUUGGAAGGAAGAAAUCUCAAAUUGAGUCCUGACUCCAUCACCAGCUGUGUGAUCCUGGACAGGACACUUUGGUUUUAGUUUCCUCAUCUAUAAAUUGCCACUGGAUCAUUGUGAAGAUCAAAUCAAAUAAAAUAUGUACAAAGUACUCUGAAAGCAUAAAGUAUUCUGAAAGC